rnacentral:rRNA from 1 species
UGGCGGACGGGUGAGUAAUGUCUGGGAAACUGCCUGAUGGAGGGGGAUAACUACUGGAAACGGUAGCUAAUACCGCAUAACGUCGCAAGACCAAAGAGGGGGACCUUCGGGCCUCUUGCCAUCGGAUGUGCCCAGAUGGGAUUAGCUAGUAGGUGGGGUAACGGCUCACCUAGGCGACGAUCCCUAGCUGGUCUGAGAGGAUGACCAGCCACACUGGAACUGAGGCACGGUCCAGACUCCUACGGAGGCAGCAUG